rnacentral:lncRNA from 1 species
ACUCAUCUCCCUUCGCUUCCGGCAAAUGGUGACGCCCGAUCGUGAUACGGCAACGCACCAAGGAGGAGUGAAGAACCGGGUCGGGUCCUGAAGCAGCCGGGACGGCAGAGAAGUGCGGAGAAAAAAAAAAGUGGAUAAAAAAGGAGCUGAGACACGCCGUGCCUCGGGUGUUGUAUAGAUGAGCCCGGCCAAUACUGCUGCCGCGACCUUGAAGAGCUGCAACAGCACUGACGAUUUAGGUGGAGACCGGGAAGCUUUAACAGGAGCACGAACCGCAGCGACCGUGCCCCGACACAAGUCGUCACUGCAGCACCAGCAUCCCCUCCUGUCUUCAACCCGCCACCACAGGGAGCCUCGGCUUUGACCUGGCAGCUGCAGUAGAUGUCACGCUGAUGUCCCCACACCCACAAAAAAUCCCGACAGGGAUUCAGGGACCUAUUGUUAUACAGGGUCACGCAGUGGGUGCUCUGCUUUUCGGAAGAUCAUCUGCGUCUAUGCUGGGAUUAUUUGUUUUGCCUGGCUUUAUUGAUGCGGACUAAACAGGAGAAAUUAUGGUCAUGGUACAUACCCUUUCCCUCCACUCCAAAUUAACAAAGGACAGAGAAUUGCUCAGCUGGGGCCACUUGAGCAAAUGUUUAAAGGAUUACAGGCUAUAAAAGGACAAGAGAGGGGAGAAAAUGGUUUUGGAUCCACCGGAGGACUUACAUUGCUGACUUAGAACCUUUCUGAGAGACCCAAGAAAAGGAUGGAAGUGGAAUUUCAAGACAGAAAAGAUCAUUGUCAGGCUUGCUGGACACUGGAGCAGAUUCCAGCAUCAUUAGCCCUAGCUGUUGGCCUCAACACUGGCCUUUGCAGCCAGCAGCCACCACAGUGACCGGGGUUGGAGGCUUUACCCUGGCUAGCCGUUCUUCUCUUCUCCGGGUUUGCAUAGAAGGGAAACAGCUAACAGCUAUCUUUUCUUAGUCCAAUUACCACCUACCGUGCAAUGCCUUAUAGGGCGGGACAUUAUGGCUCAGUUGGGGGUAGUUUUAACCCUUUGGGGUAAAAGCCAUUGCUUGGACCGUGGCUGAGGAACCUUGUGACAUUUGCUAUAGGGAUACUGGGUGUGCUUUUAAUGCUUUUGCUUUUUUGCCUUGUAUUUUUAAUUGUAUUCAAAAUAUGGUCAGUAGAAUGAUAGAAAAAACCUGGCAGACUAGUCUCCUUGCACAAAAAAGAAAAACGGGGGAUAUGUUGGAGAGUUUUGUGCAGACGUGGCUUGAGGAAAAAGGCCAUGAUCAUAUAGAGCUGGUUCAGCAGUAAAAAGCUAUAAGCAGUAAGUUUUUAUAAGCCUUUUCCUUACGAGAAAAACAACACUGUGUCCUUGA